GCCAUGGCGGAGCUCCAGGCGCGCCUCGAGGCGCUGGAGCGGCGGAUGGAGCGGGCGGAGGCGGCGCUGCGGGAGUGGCCCCUCGCCGCCCUGCGGCUCCACGGGGUCCCGGUGCUGUUCGAGGACGUGGCGGUGCGGUUCAGCCAGCAGGAGUGGGCAAGCCUGGACGAGGGACAGAGGGAAAUGUACCGGAGCGUCAUGGAAGGCAACUACGAGAUGCUGGUGUCCCUGUGUAGGCUGCGUUUGCGCCGGUUUGGCAGCCCCAGGGAGCUCUCUUGGGGUCAUUUCUCUGCCUCUUUGCCUUUCACUGGAAUCUCCAGCUCUCAAAUAAACCUCCCUUUCCCCGUCCCCUCCGGCAGCGGUUGGAGCAUGGCAGGGACACGCAGGACAGGGUAGUAAGUGCUUGGUGUCUUUUCUUCGUGGAGAACAGGUACAUUGUUGGUCUUGUCAUAUCCCUGGGUUGUCACCUCCAAAAUUCUCUGCCUGGGACAUCCCUUUCCAUGAGAAUUUUCCCUAAAAUCCAACCUCAACCCCUUGCUUGAAGCUGUUUCCUCUUGCCCUGUUCCCUGCAAGCAGGUCCUGAUUCCCUCCUGGCUGUCAGGGGGCUGUGGAGAGCCAGGAGCUCCCCCUGAGCCUCCUUUUCUCCAGGCUGAGCCCCCCAGUUCCUGAUUCUCUGUUCCCCUGGUCUGUUCCCUUCCCUGGACACGCUCCAGCCCCUCAAUGUCUUCCUUGGCAUGAGGGGCCCAGAAUUGCCCCCAGGAUUCAAGGUGUUCCCUCAGCACUGCCCUCAUGCAGUCAGGAGCCUCACAAUUCCCUUCCUGUCAUUCAGGGUAUUUUCCUAUCUGCAAGGGGAAUUUCUGGGAGAACGGAAUUCUGUAGCAGGGGCAGAGUAAGGAUGGGUUUUCUUUCAGUUGUUCCCAGGGGACUGUCAGAGGCUGCUUUCCCUUUUCCCCUGUCAGCUCUGCCUGCUGUUUCCUGUCUGUAUCCAUAACUCCCGUCGUGGCCCCGGUUGGAGAUGAAGUUUCCUGGGUUGGGACUGGCUCUGUUGCCCAGCUGUGGGUGCAGAGUCCCUGUCCCAUCAUGUCCCUGAUGUCUGUCAUGCCCCUGCCCAGACUGUGCCCUGUCCAAGCCUGAGCUGUUACUGCAGCUGGAAAGAGAAGAGCCGAGCACGCCGCCGGAAUCGGAACCAGAAGCAGCAGAGGUGUCCCCAGAGCUGGCUGUAGAGCCAGCCCGACAGAACUGCACCAGCGAUGAUGCA